rnacentral:rRNA from 1 species
UACGGGGGGGGCAAGCGUUGUUCGGAAUUACUGGGCGUAAAGGGCUCGUAGGCGGCCAACUAAGUCGGAUGUGAAAUCCCCAGGCUCAACCUGGGAACUGCAUCCGAUACUGGAUGGCUUGAAUCCGGGAGAGGGAUGGCAGAAUUCCAGGUGUGAGCGGUGAAAUGCGUAGAUAUACUGGAGGAACAUCCGAGGCGGAGGAAGGGCGAACAC